rnacentral:rRNA from 1 species
UACGUAGGGUGCAAGCGUUGUCCGGAAUUAUUGGGCGUAAAGAGCUCGUAGGCGGUCUGUCGCGUCUGCUGUGAAAACUGGAGGCUCAACCUCCAGCCUGCAGUGGGUACGGGCAGACUAGAGUGCGGUAGGGGAGAUUGGAAUUCCUGGUGUAGCGGUGGAAUGCGCAGAUAUCAGGAGGAACACCGAUGGCGAAGGCAGAUCUCUGGGCCGUACCUGACGCUGAGGAGCGAAGCGUGGGUAGCGAACAGG